AGCCCUCCAGGUGAGGUAGACGCUCUCAGCGACGUAAUCUGCAGUUUACACUGAAAAACUGACAUUGUGAAUGUACCUCUACAUCUAAAGAAAACAAAAAAUCGCUGAACAGGUUCGACUGGAUGCACCUGACGGACAGCGCACAGUGAGAUGACUUCGUAGACAGCAUUUGAAUCAUGGUGAAAAUAAAUCUCAGUGCUGAGUAAAACAUCAGACCUGAUGAUACUGAAAAGUGAUCGGGAGGAGAUCCUGUGCUACGCUGCGCCCCACAGAUCUUCUCUGUGAAUAUAUCAGAUGAAGCCGGUGUCAGUCUGAGAGUUUCCAGCUUAUGCCCAGAGGUGGUGGGAGCAUGACAUCACAAAGUGUAAG